rnacentral:rRNA from 1 species
CUACGGGAGGCAGCAGUGGGGAAUAUUGCACAAUGGAGGAAACUCUGAUGCAGCAACGCCGCGUGGAGGAUGACACUUUUCGGAGCGUAAACUCCUUUUAUAUAGGAAGAGGAUGACGGUACUAUAUGAAUAAGCGCCGGCUAACUCCGUGCCAGCAGCCGCGGUAAUACGGAGGGCGCAAGCGUUACUCGGAAUCACUGGGCGUAAAGAGCGUGUAGGCGGAUUAAAAAGUCAGAAGUGAAAUCCUAUAGCUUAACUAUAGAACUGCUUCUGAAACUCUUAAUCUAGAAUAUGGGAGAGGUAGAUGGAAUUUCUGGUGUAGGGGUAAAAUCCGUAGAGAUCAGAAGGAAUACCGAUUGCGGAGGCGAUCUACUAGAACAUUAUUGACGCUGAGACGCGAAAGCGUGGGGAGCAAACAGGAUUAGAUACCCUCGUAGUC